AUGCUUACUUCAGCAUCACCUAUACUAAAAAUUGUAAUGAUACGGAGAAGUUUAGUGUGGCCCCUGCACAAGGAUGGCUUGCAAAUUUGUGAUGUGCUCCAUAAAGGG
ensembl:snRNA U6 U6 spliceosomal RNA